rnacentral:lncRNA from 1 species
UCGCCUUCACGCUGUCGACCAUGUCGUCUACCUCCUCUGCUUCAUCUUCUUCAUGGAGCCGAACGCCGCCAUGAUCAGUGGUCGUGCUUCCGGCCUCCUCGUCUUGUCCUACGAGACCUAGGUCAGCCGACGCACCUCCCUGAACCCACCUGCCGUCUAACUUGUCCCAUAAGAGUCAUUUGCAUCAUGCCAAGAUUGUGCCUUCGUGCUCCCGCCUUAGAUGUUUUGUUCAUGUGUGGGUGCUCGUCUCUCUACAUGCAGCGCCUUGCUUGGACCUCACCUUGACAGCUCCCGCCCUGGCACCCGCAUCGUUGCAGCCCCAUGCAUGCACACCUUGCCUGGCUCGGCCUUCGGCCAUAGCUUCCAUCCUCGCCGCGCCGCUUUGCCAUGGCCGCGAGAUCCUGUCCGUGCGCACGCACUCAUGCGCACAUGCACACGCUCAUCCCAUAGCAGCAUCACCUCACAAUCCCACACCCCCGCCGGUGCUCCACUGCUCCGGUGGUCGCCGCAGUUGGCUGUCGGCACCGUCGCCAUCUUCCUGUGUGCGGUAGAGCACAGGGCUCGGCCUUCUGGGGAUGGUUCAAAAGAUCCAGGCGCCCCUCUCAGUGCAAAGCCUUCCCUCUAGCGCAGCGGUCAGUGCCCCUCUCUUCUACCUAGGAGGCCUGGGUUCGAGCCCCAGGCGCCACUUGUUUUGGCUGUGGCCUUAUAUUUUAUCACUGUGGCUAUGACAUCCUGGCCCCACUGUCAUACACACACCCUCACAGGCCCAAUGUGAGCAGCACCAGGCCUUCUCCCGUGCAUGUUGGGCCAGUCAGUUUCGGCCCGAGCCACAUUUUUUCCCGCAGAACAUUUUUGCUAUUUAACUAGUGCACUGCAUUUUUACAGUUUGGACCCUAAACAUCACACAUUUAAUAACUCACAAAUGGUGCAUCGGAUUAAAAUAACUUAUAUAUGAAAAAUGCUUAGAAUUUUAUGUAGAUUCAUAUUAUCCAACUUUCAUGCAUGUUUAAAAUGUUGUUUGAUUAAAUUUUCUCAAAUAACAUGCUAAAAUGAUUUAAUUCAUAACUAAAUAACCGUAGCUCCAUUUUAAAUAAACUUUAUAUGUAAAUGGGAUAGAAAAAUGCCUAGUUUAACAUGGUGGCAUUAAUUUUCAUGUUUAACAACUCUAAAAUUUGGUUUAGGGCAGAACAGUACCAAAUUCAUAAUAUGGACAUGAGGAUUUUCCAGACUUGUUGUUUGUUAUUUCCUGCCUCAUUUAAACUUGUCUAGAUAGGUAGUUUUCAUAUGCUUCACAUCUCGCCAUGCUAACCAACAUUUAAUAUUGUUGAGUACAUAAACUGGAGAGAACUAAAUAAGUCAGGUGGUGUUCCGUCAAUAUGCAACUCGUUACAUAUUGAGCUCAAUUUAAUUUGUAGUAUUGUUUGUGCACUUUUCUAUGCCAUGCCUCAUUAAAACGGACAUGCAUCAUACUUGGUUAUGCAUCAUGACAUGUUUAUGUGAUGGUUGUUUACUAUGUUUCUUUAUUCUUUCCGGGUUGUCUCUCUCGUUAGCUUCGGUUUCGUUCUGGAGUUGUGAGGAUCCGUUCGGCUACGUCCGUUUGUCUCCUUCAUGGACUCGUUCUUCUUCCUUGCGGGAUCUCAGGCAAGAUGACCAUACCCUCGAAAUCACUUCUAUCUUUGCUUGCUAGAUGUUCGCUCCAUCGGUAUAUCGCGCUACCUACCACUUGUUAUAUCAUGCCUCCCAUGUUGCCAUGUCAAGCCUCUAACCCACCUUCCUAGCAAACUGUUGUUUGGCUAUGUUACCGUUUUUGCUCAGCCCCUCUUAUAGCGUUGUUAGUUGUAGGUGAAGUUGAAGAUUGUUCCAUGUUGGGACAUGGAUAUGUUGGGAUAUCACAAUAUCUCUUAUUUAAUUAAUGCAUCUAUAUACAUGGUAAAGGAUGGAAGGCUCGGCCUUAUGCCUGGUGUUUUGUUCCACUCUUGCUGCCCUAGUUUCCGUCAUACCGGUGUUAUGUUCCUUGAUUUUGCGUCCCUUACGUGGUUGGGUGUUAUGGGAACCCCUUGACAGUUCGCUUUGAAUAAAACUCCUCCAGCAAGGCCCAACCUUGGUUUUACAUCUGCCUAACAACCUAUACCUUUCCCUUGGCUCGGCCAACCCGAGGGUCAUCUUUAUUUUAAUCCCCCGGGCCAGUGCUUCUCUAAGUGUUGGUCUGAACCAAGCCGCCUGCGGGGCCACCUCGGGGAAACUCGAGGGCUGGUUUUACACAUAGCCUGUCUCAUCCGGGGUUGCCCUGAGAACGAGAUAUGUGCGACUCCUAUCGGGAUUGUCGGCACAUUGGAUGGCUUUGCUGGUCUUGUUUUACUAUUGUUGAAAUGUCUUGUAACCGGGAUUCCGAGUCUGAUCGGCUCUUCGUGGGAGAAGGAAUAUCCUUCGUUGACCGUGAGAUCUUGUGAUGGGCUAAGUUGGGACACCCCUGCAGGGUUUUGAACUUUCGAAACCCGUGCCCGCGGUUAUGGGAAGAUGGGAAUUUGUUAAUAUCCGGUUGUAGAGAACUUGACACUUAACUUAAUUAAAAUGAAUCAACCGCGUGUGUAGUCGUGAUGGUCUCUUUUCGGCGGAGACCGGGAAGAGAACACAAUCUUGUGUUAUGCUUGAACGUAAGUAGCUCCAGGAUCACUUCUUGAUCACUUAUAGUUUCUCGACCGUGCAUUGCUUCUCUUCUCGCUCUCAUUUGCGUAAGUUAGCCACCAUAUAUGCUUAGUGCUUGUUGCAGCUCCACCUCAUUACCUUACCCUACCCAUAAGCUUAAAUAGUCUUUAUCUCACGGGCGUGAGAUUGCUGAGUCCUCGUGACUCACAGAUACUUCCAAAACAGUUGCAGGUGCCGAUGAUACCAGUUCAGGUGACGCAACCGAGCUCAAGUGAGAGCUCGAUGAAGAUCUUUUCGUUGUUUUGUGUCUUUUUUGGUUGAUCAGUAGUGGAUCCCAGUUGGGACGAUCGGGGAUCUAGCACUUGGGGUUGUCUUUCUUUAUUUUGGUCCCGUAGUCGGACCUUUGUUUGUAUCUUGGAUGAUGUAUGGAUUAUUUAUGUAUUGCGCGAAGUGGCGAUUGUAAGCCGACUCUUUAUCCCAUUCUUAUUCACUAUAUG